GGUCAGUGUAAUGUCAUCUGGCUCUGUGGUCUUUGGAAGUACAGUCAAUAUGACCGUCAAAAAAUCAACAGGUGAAGAGAUGGACAGGAAGCCAAAGGUGGUGUUUCACAGUGGCACCAUCAAGAGUGAACUCGGAGAGGAUGUACAACUGGAAUGUAUCUUCAGCGGCAGACCUAUACCAAAGAUAUCGUGGACACAUUCUGACAAAACCAUCAAGUCACGUGGCAGAGUUCUG